rnacentral:lncRNA from 1 species
UAGGCAAUAAAUAUUUUAAUAUUUUGUUGCAAAAUUUCUUCUUCCAAGAGCCAGAAAAGGACAAGUAUGGCAAUAUCAAAAGCUGCAAGAUGCACGAUCUUGUCCAUGAUCUUGCAUGUUUAGUUUCAAAAUCAGAAAGUUUCAUGAACAUGGAGGGUCGCACUGUCGAUGACAUUCUUCAAGUUAGACACCUUGCAAUGGAAUCAAUUGGAGAGGAAAUAGUCAAGGACAUAAAAGAGAGAGCAAGUUAUUUCCGCACCUUGUUCUUAAGAGGCAGCGUACCAGAUGGAAUUUUGCCAGACUUCAAGCAUUUGCAUUCUCUAAAGCUAUGUGAUGCAAAUAUUAAAGAAUUGCCAACAUCAAUUGGCACGUUGAAACAUUUGAGAUAUCUUUAUGUGUCCGAAAAUCAUCUUCUCACUACUCUGCCAGAAUCUAUCUGCAAGCUCUACAAUUUGCAAACUUUGAGGAUUCUACGUUGCUUAAGUUUUCUCAAUCUUCCUAGAGAUAUGCGCUUCUUGAUUCGUCUAAGGCAUCUCUGUUUUGAUAAGGUUUGCCGUGUUUUCAAGAUGCCUCCUAAAGUCGGAAGUUUAUCUUGCCUUCAAACGUUACCAUUAUUUUGUGCGAGUGACAAGGAAGGUUGUCGAAUCGAUGAGCUGGGAAAGCUGAAGAAAUUAAAGGGCAAACUACAAAUACAGAAUCUGGAAUUGGUGAGUUGCAAAACAGAAGCGGAGCAUGCAGAUAUGGCUGGAAAGCUAAACAUUUAUAAUUUUAGCUUUUAUUGGAAUUGUUCAACGGAUUCCAAUGAUGAGAGUCAGUCUACGAAUUCCAUAGAAAGUAACGUCAAUGAUGAGAGUGUACUUGAAGGGCUGCAACCUCAUGAAAAGCUAAAAUGCUUAACAAUUGAUGGAUUCCGAGGUAAAAAAUUUCCAUUAUGGACUAGAAAUAUGAGAAUAUAUAAAGGCAAUUCUGGCCUUCCGGUGAUAUUUGAUAAAUUGAUCAAGAUCGAAAUUAUAAGUUGUGGCAAUUGCGAAGAAAUCCCAGUGCUCGGCCACCUACCACUCCUCAAGUAUCUACUUAUCCAGGAUCUGGGUAACGUAACAUUGAUAAGUUCAUCAUUCUAUGGAGAGAGUGAUUGUACCACAAAUAGCAGCAACGAUGGCCAAGAGACAAGAGAAUCAUUCCCGUCACUCAAAAGUCUCGUAAUAAUGGAAUUGCCGAACCUAAUAAAUUGGGAAGAAGCACAAAUGAGCGGAACACAGGUAUUUCCUUGCCUUGAAUAUUUGGAUAUACUUUUUUGUGACAAGUUAGCUCAUGUUCCCCAUUUACGGGGCAGCGGAGCUUCUCUUAAAAAGAUGAAAAUUGAGAAUUGUCUUAAAUUGAGGAAAUUACCCUAUGACCUUGGUAGCCUCCAGUCUCUUGAGACAUUGGAAAUAGAAUCAUGUGGAAAUCUGAAAUCAAUUUCAUAUCAAAGUGGACAAAAAGGCCUCCUUUCCCUUCAGAAGUUGGAAAUUCGUAAUUGCCUCUUUUAAUUUUUAUAGAUAUGUCACAACUUUUCCCAAUUUAUUUCGGUAUAAUGGUGUAAGAUCACCGCUUGCAAUGUCAUCAAAUUAGUUUGUUGAUACAAAUGGGAUGAGAUGUAGUGAUUAAUGAUGUGUAAAUAUCAAUAUCAAUAAUUUAAAAUCAUACUGUGUGAGUGUAAUUUAUUAGGUAGAUAGAAAUACAAAUUAAAUAAUUGAGUUGGAAAUCAAAUGGUCUUUAGUGAGACAUUGGGACCCUUUCUACUUGGAAGUUAGUGCACGAGUAAAUUCGAAAACAAAAAUGAGCAAAAUUGAAAACUUUCAUUACAAUAAAAAUAUAAUGCAAUUAACUAUAAAUGUGGUGUAUAUAUAAUCAUCCAUUAAAAAAUUUAGAAGUAUUGUACAAUUAUUUAAAUAACUCUUUAACUGUACUUUUAUAUUAUCAUCCAUUAAGAAAUCCAAAAGCAGUGGACACAAUUAUUUUCAUGUACGUCUCUACGGACUUUAUGUGUGGAACACUGCCAUAAUCUCACUUCACUUCCUGAAAUGAGUGGGAUGGGUUCUCUACAGUCUCUAGUUGUGGGUGGAUGUAAAAAUAUCACUUCAUUUCCUGAAAUGAGUGGGAUGAAAUCUCUACAGGAACUAUGUUUAAAGUCAUGCACUUCCUUUCCAGAAUUGAGUAGGAUGGGAUGCCUUAACAGCUUAAUUGAAUUGUCCAUUGGGUUCUUCCCAAAUUCAAUGGAAUUACAUUCAUUUCAAUCUUUUAUCAACGGCAUCAAACGCAUGAAAUCCCUUGAAAGAGUAGUCUUAUAUGGUUCGGGAGAUUGGGUCUCUCAACUAGAUCAGCUUCAACAUCUCAGUUCCCUAAAAGAAUUGUUAAUAUAUGAAUUUGAAAUGGAAGCCUUGCCUGAUUGGAUUGGAAAUUUGUCAUCUCUUGAAAGUCUAGGAGUACGGUACUGUGGAGAGCUUAAGUACCUGCCCUCUAAAGAAGUUAUGCAACGGCUCACCAAAUUAGAACUAUUAAAUAUUUGGUUUUGUCCGAUAUUGGAGGAGAGAUGCAGGGUAAAAAGCGGUCCUGAUUCUGAGUGGCCAAAAAUUUCUCAUAUUCCCCAUCUGAUAAUAAAAGAUCUGUGAAGUUUGGUGUUCCUGUAAGUAUAUUUAAAGUUUGAAUAUUGACUUUAUUGUUUAUUAAUUUUGGUUAGUGUAUGUUCUAAAUAUUGCUACAGGGUGGUUUUAAUUGAUUUCUGUUACUAAUAGAUAAAAAGAGUUUGCAUGAGGUUGUCCUUUAAUUUUGUCAAAUAACAAAGAUUUCUCGAUUAAAUGUUUACCAAAGUAUUCAGUUAAAUGACUUUAUUUUUCAAUUAAUUAUAUUAUCCUUUCUUAAGUUAGCUAGUGUGCUAAAAUAGUUAUAGUUAUGAAUUGCUUCGAGUGCCUUAUGGAAUUUGUAUAAAUUUUAUUAGGUUGUGAUGAAGAAGAGCAUCCACCCUCAACAACUUGAUACUCAUUUAUUGUCCUAUCAAUUCCUAAUUCUAUUUGGAUCUUCGUCAACUUUACUAUUGUAAGUUUUCUUAUCAUUACAUAAAUAUUAGAACGAUUUGAACUAUCUUCACAUGAUUUCAUAUUAACUUCUCCACAGACAUGGGCAUUUCAUAGACAUUUUUCUUGUUUUGGAAUUGGAAUUGGAAUUGGAAUUUGAAUUAUGAGGCAUAUGAUUUAGUCGGUAGAAAGAGAAAUGUAGAAUUCAAUUAUCAAUAAAUAAGUAGGUAUGAAUUGUCCUUAGUUAGAAAUUAAGUUGACAUCUUCGAUUGCUCAAUACAAUUUAAAUAUUGGGUUUUGACUACUAAACUUUUCAAAAUGUUGGAGUUACUCACUGAAAUCUUUGCAGCAUUUUGGCACCGACAAUCUGAAAAUAUGUUAUCUUUUAAGUAUUCUGUGAAACUCAAAACAUAAACUAGUACGAAAAAGCAAGAAAAUUUUAAAAUCUUCUUUGCAAUUAAAAUACGGUGCAAUUAAUGAUAAAUGUGGGCAAGUUUAUGUUUGGUGGGAUUAAAAUUUGAUUUUGAGAAGAAUUUGAUAAAAAUUGAAGAAAUGUGUGAUAGAAAAGUUAUAUAACCCAUGAAAUAUGUAUUUAAUAUUGAAUGUGAACUUUAAUUAGUUUAAAAUUUAAAUUUUAAGCAAGUAGGUUGUAAAAAGACUUUGACUAAAGGAUUGAUCAAUAAUUAAGUGUACCUUUCUUAAGCAGAGGAAAACAAUCAUUUACACCACAAACUCCUCGAAUUUGCAAGCUCUUGUUCCCUGACCUGUUGGAGCACAUCCCGCGAUUUACCUCCCUCACGAUGCUCUAGGAGCGGGGCAGUGGGGACCCUCAAGGUUGGGGUUCAACCUUUAAUCAAUCACACAUACUAAAUUUCCAAAGUGAGAAAAAAUGAAAGCUGUGGCUAUUGACGGUGUAAAAACCAUACUUCAGAAUUUGUUUCCGGUAGCUGUUGAAGAAUUCAAACUCUUGCGGGGCUUUGAGAAAGAAUUUGAAAAUUUGAAAAACUAUUUCGAAAAGAUCUGCGAAGUUUUGGACGAUGCUAAGAAGCGCGAAAUCACUGAGAAGGCUAUUGAAAGCUGGCUUAAAGGCCUCAAAGAUGCUGCCUAUGAUGCCGACAACGUUUUGGACGAGAUCAAAUAUAAAGAUUUACGUCGUACAAUAGAGACAGAGGACAAAAUUGGGUGCUUAAACUUUCCUUUCAUUAUGACAUUUCUGCAAAAGAUGGCGCACAAAAUCACUUUUCAUUGGAAGAUGUCACACAAGAUCAAGAGCAUAAAUGAAAAUUUCAAGAGGAUAAACAACGAAGCUGAUAGCCUUGGUCUCAACAGAGUUAUGGAUCAUCCUUGUUCAAAGCCUCUGGUCAUGGAAACUAACAGCUUCACAGUUGAUCCAAUUGUCAUUGGAAGACAAAGUGAUGAAUCAAAAAUUCUGGAAAUGAUAACCAGCUCGAUCAAUAAUGUCCUUUCAGUCCUUUCCAUAGUCGGAAUGGGAGGGCUUGGUAAGACGACUUUGGCAUGCAAGAUCUUCGAAAACCAUCGUACAGGAAACCAUUUCGACAAAACGAUUUGGGUUUGUGUAUUAGAAAAUUUUGAUCAGCUGACGCUUUGCAAAAGGAUCCUGGAAUUAUUAUUGAUCGAAAAAUUUGAUGGGGGUUAGCAAGGAAGCUGUUGUUCAAAAGUGUAGCGGAAAUCCCUCUAUAAAUCUUGAUUCCGGGCUCAGAAAACAAUGAAACGAACACCGAUUUACCUCGACUUAACCCGAGACUUUCGCCUUCACUUUGGACUGCUCUCUUUCUCUCUAACCCCACAAAGGAGAAUGGUGGUGGAAUUAGCAAUCCACAAAAGUAUGAAGAGGAAGAAGAAAAUAUCACAAUGGUUGAAUCUCACUCACAACCUCACAUGGCUCCCUCUCUCUCGGUUGCCUCUCUUCUCUCAACUCUCCUCUCCAUUGCUACAACACACACACACCCCAAAAAUGGCUGGGAGAUAAAUAAAUAUUUUUAGGUUAGUUUAGGUCACUCUAAUUGGGCCUAGGGUUUACUAAGUGGGCUACUAAUUAACCUAAACUAAUGAGCCAAUAUUCAACUCCAUAUUAGUCACUAAAUGGUCCAACUAACCAAAUAAUCAUCCAUCCCAAACCCGAACCAUCCAAAAGUGUAGUUCAUCUCCGAGCCGAGCCAAGUCCAUGGUGUCGAUAAAUAAUCCGACAACUGUUUUAAAUCAUCGUCCGGAUUUUUGGGUAUAAAAAAACCCAACAAUCUCCACCUUAAUGCCCAAUAAUCUGCAAGCAACCAAAACACACAGUUUAUACUUGCACAAUCAAGGUAAUCCAAUAAAAUUGGAGUCACAUACCUUACCUCGUGUUUCGAACCGAAACACAUAUCAUACUUACUCCAUGUACUCACCAGGGCUAAGGUCAAGAACACCCAAAUAGAAACAAGUAUUCACAUUGAACAAACAAUCAUGCGAUGAAGAUAUAUAGGAUAACACACACAGAUCUUUUCAAAACCACAUUCACACAGAACCACAGAUUAACACCUAGUUAAUCAACACAUGGUCAUGCACAUAUGCAACAAAUGUAUAAAUGACCCUAAGAAAAGAUCUUACCACACUUAUCCUAUCCCAUUCCGUGUUGCUUACACCUCGAGAACACAUAUCUCCUCUCAUCGCCCACAAUGCUCACUAAACCAAUUACUUAACUCAUAUCUAACUGGAAAGUUACAAUAGAUCCCAAGCUCUCGGGAUAAUCCUCUAUCACCGCAUCACUUCUCCCAACCUACGUGGAUAAUGGGACUCCACCUUACAGAAGUGAUAGAAGUGCCUCUCUCGCACUCCACCUGUACAGGGUCUCUUUCACAGAUAAAGGAUUCUACACACAUCUCCACUCGUGAUCCAAAUGUCACACUCCACAUUCCCAGGUACAAAUCACCAUGUAUCCCUAGAUAUCUAUACUCCACCUUACCAAAAGACAUCCAACUCACUGCUAAUGCAUCACAAACUCAUUGCGGCAAAACAACACCUUUCGGUGACCACAAAUGUUACUCCAAUUACCAAAGCUCCAAAAAAUCCACAAAGAAAAUGGCGAAGGUGGCACUCACAAAGAAAAAUCGAAGAAAGAGUCGGUUACUUCACAACACUCACAAAGAAGGCUCACAAAGAGGAAGAAUAUAACCCUAACAUGGCUGCCUUACAUAAUCUCACAAACCACAUAGGCUCACAAAGAUAAAGGAGAGAAAUGGCUGCCCAACUUUCUUCUCACUACCACACUCUCUCACCACUCAUAGAGCAAAUAGAGUACGCCACAAAACUUAACCCACUAUUCAUGUAAACAUAUUACACAAAGUAAUAUGUCACUCUUAUUCAUGCAAUUACACACAUCAAACAUAUUGAAAGUAUAACAUCAACAUUUCAACAGAAUCAAAUGAUCACAUACAUGCAGAAAGGAUUAUACACAGAUGCACAUGCAGUAACUAGGUUUAUUCUCAAUAAAUCUCACUAGGAUCACUACUCGAUCCUAAAGUCAUAUUCACCUCGUCUCUAUCCUCAUCUUUCCUUUUAUUAUCAUCUUAGGACAAUCUCUUUCAACUAUGCCCAAAUUUUAUCACAGUUAAAACAUAUUUUAUUUUUCGCACUUGUCUUAGACCUAUACAUGUCAAUAAUACCAAAUAAUGACCACAAGUAAAGUACUGACACAUAAUUCACACAAAAUAGUUAAGUAAUUUUUCCUAAGGUCACAUGCAAUUCUAUCGGUAUAGAAAAAUUGGUGACAAAUUCACAUGGAAUUUAAGGCAAUUAAUUAACAUGUAAUUCCUAGGUCUAGCAACAAGCAAUGGUUACCCCAAACCUAACGUUACCCCACACGAUGACUUUCAAUGCGAAAAAAUAAAUAAUUAACCUAAACCCCAAACCUAACGUCACCCCAUACGAUGACUUCCAAUGCCAAAAAAUAAAUAAUUAACCUACACAUUUAUUUUAACUACAAUAAUAAAAAGCAAAGAGAUACCGAGCGGACCACGUCUGAAGGUCCGUAAAUAUCGAGAGACGUGAAUUGACCACUUUAGAAUCAUCACUGUUUGUCCUAAAGUCACCAAUAAUUACAGCAACACAAAAACAGCACCCGGCACCUGAAUGUCCAAGGGCAAAAUCGUUCACCUUUCACUGCAUUGCUCAAAACUGAAAUUCGACAACACCGUAGAGUCCGUAUCGUCACUAGCAGCAUUCUGUCUGAAGACAGCAUCCCCAGAUUCCUACUCACGCCUCGCUGGAGUUCCCACGCGCCGGAGCCAGUCGGCGACGCGCUGGUGACGCCCCGACCUUUCUGAACCGUCUCCAGCUGUAAAGUCCAAUGGUGGUGUCCGUUUUGCCAAACUCCUUUUGGUUUCACCAAAAAACGCCAAAACAGAUUCGGCAGAAAUUUGAAAAAAUCCCAGAAAACUGUCUAGUUUUUCUGCCUGUUUUUCUGUCCGAUUUCUAGUCAAUUCCAACCCAUUUUUCAGCUCCAAAAAUCACAGAUUUAUCAAUAACACAAGCUCUAAUACCGUUUGUAGCGGAAAUCCCUCUAUAAAUCUUGAUCCCGGGCUCAUAAAACAAUCAAACGAACACCGAUUUACCUUGGCUCGACCCGAGACUUUCGCCUUCACUUUGGACUACUCUCUCUCUCUCUAACCCCACAAAGGAGAAGGGUGGUGGUGUUAGAAAUCCACAAAGAUAUGAAGAGGAAGAAGAAUAUAUCACACUGGUUGAAUCUCACUCACAACCUCACAUGGCUUCCCUUUCUCUUGAUUGCCUCUCUUCUCUCAACUCUCCUCUCCAUUGCUACAACACACACACACACACACCAAAAACGGCUGGGAGAUAAGUACAUAUAUAUAGGUUAGUUUAGAUCACUCUAAUUGGGUAUAGGGUUCUCCAAGUGGGCUACCAAUUAACCUAAACUAAUGAGCCAAUAUUCAACUCUAUAUUAAUCACUAAAUGGUCCAACUAACCAAAUAAUCAUCCAGCCCAAACCCGAACCAUCCAAAAGUAUAGUUCAUCUUUGAGCCGAGCUAAGUCCAUGGUGUCGAUAAAUAAUCCGACAACUGCUUUAAAUCAUCGCCCGGAUUAUUGGGAAUCAAAAAAUCCAACAAAAAGAUUGCAGAAAAAUUAAAAGACAAAAGAUACUUGCUUGUUCUCGAUGAUUUAUGGAAUGAAGAAACAAAAGAUUGGGAUGAAUUCAAAAAAAACACUAGUGGGAGCUAGCUUCAGAAAUGGAAAUUUCAUUAUCGUCACCACACGUAAGGAAAAGGUGGCAUCUAUUGUGAACACUUGCGAUCAUCCAUGUUGCUUGAGGUCAUUGACAGAAGGCGAUUGCUGGUCGAUAACCAGAACAAUGGCAUUUCAAGAUAAAGAAGUACCAGAACAAUUUGCGAUCACUGGAUUGGAGAUUGCCCGCAAAUGUAGAGGUUUACCUCUAUCAGCAAAUGUGAUUGGAAGAGUUUUGCAAGGAAAGGAAAUAGAAGAGUGGGAUUCAGUUCUACAAUAUGAGCUUUCAAAUCUUGAAGAGGGUGAGAAGGGUGUGUUGCAAGUCUUAAAGGUAAGUUACGAUCGCUUACCUUCUUCAUCACGGAAAAAAUGUUUUGCCUAUUGUUCAAUAUUUAUCAAGGAUUCGGUCAUGGAUAGAGAACGCUUAAUCCAGCUCUGGAUGGUAGAAAGAUUUCUUCCGAAAGAUAAAAAAAGUGAGAUGGAGACUACGGGCAAUAAAUUUUUUAAUAUUUUGUUGUAAAACUACUUCUUCCAAGAGCCUAUGAAGGACCAGUAUGGCAAUAUCAUAAGCUACAAGAUGCACGAUCUUGUCUAUGAUCUUGCAUGUUCAGUUUCGAAAUCAGAAAGUUUCAUGAAUAUGGAGGGUCGCACUGCUGAUGACAUUCUUCAAGUUAGACACCUUGCAAUAGAAUCAAUUGAAGAGGAAA